AUUUAUCUUCGGGAUAGGUAGUAGUUAAGGUGAAGGCUUAACUAGCCUAAAACUCUCGUAGUCGAAUCUGAAAGGUUGAUCGACCACAUUGGGUCUGAAAAAACCCCAAUGCAAGUUAGUACAGCAGUGAGGAAUCUUGGUCAAUGGCCUAACGGCUGAACUGGCAACUUGGAGAAGUGGCAAGUCUUAUUUUGAUUAUAUCGUAGAAUAUAAUCUAUAAGAUUGUAUUAAAAUUGAAUAAAGCUUUGUUUAUAUAUUGAUAAUGACAGUAUAUAUAUCGUGUCUUGACUAAUUACGUGCCAGCAGUCGCGGUAAUACGUAAGAGACUAGUGUUAUUCAUCUUAAUUAGGUUUAAAGGGUACCUAGACGGUCAAUAUAGCUUCUAGAAUGUUAGUACUUGACUAGAGUUUUAUGUAAGAGGGCAGUACUUGAGGAGGAGAGAUGAAAUUCUAUGAUACCAAAGGGACUCGGUAAAGGCGAAGGCAGCCCUCUAUGUAAAAACUGACGUUGAAGGACGAAGGCACAGAGCACAAACAGGAUUAGAUACCCAAGUAGUCUUUGCAGUAAAUGAUGAAUGCCAUAGGUUAGAUUAAAU
rnacentral:rRNA from 1 species